rnacentral:misc_RNA from 1 species
UUUCCGUAGGUGAACCUGCGGAAGGAUCAUUAUUGAAUGAACUUGGUGUGGUUGUUGCUGGUCCUUUCGGGGGCAUGUGCACGCCCACCAUCCUCAUCUCUCCACCUGUGCACCUCUUGUAGACUUGGAUUGACUUUCCGAGGCAACUCGGUCGGGAGGAUUGCUGGCAUCAGCUGGCUUUCUUUGCAUUUCCGGGUCUACGUUUUUCAUAUACCCCAUUGUAUGUAACAGAAUGUAAUAUUGGGCCCUUGUGCCUAUAAACCUUAUACAACUUUCAGCAACGGAUCUCUUGGCUCUC